UGUCCAUUGUGCGUGUGCUAACUUUCUCUCAUGCCUCACAGAUAGAGUACUACUGUAUUUUUACUAUUUUUCUUUCACCUCAUAUUUGGUGUCAAAUGCUGAUACUAUGUGGGAAUGCAUAAAGGUUCACAGAGAAGGUGAGCAGGCGGUGAACUGAUAGUCAUCCAGGGUCAGGGCUGUGAAGAUCUCUGACUUGAUGCUGCUCCAGCCUCAGACGAGCUGUCUGUCCACCUGAUCUGAGCUAAGAAGUGUACUGCCAAAAAAGAAAAGACCCUCGGUCCUAUGUUGAAGCUUUGAAGGUAAGUGGCAGUUCCUUUCCUGUUGCUGCUCCCACCCUUUUUUGUUCAUUUUUAUUGAUUUUGAC